rnacentral:lncRNA from 9 species
UGCGCUGCUGUGGUCGUGAAACGAGCAGGACCUGACAGCACCCCAGCGCCCCUGCCUGCCUGCGUGCAUACGUUCCUGCCCGGAGGAGUCAUCGGUGCAAGCUGGGGCUAGUAGCCCUGGAACAAACCUCACUACUUAGACAUCACUGGGAGAAAAUGAAGUCUGAAUUACAAGGUAUUUUAGGAGCAAAGCAAGCGUAUCAUUACUCCGAAGGCAUGACGGAGGCCCUGCCUUUGUCAUGGCAUCAGAGACUUUGGUCCAGUCUGACCUGCAGCUCAUACUGUGUGACCUUGGGCAAGUCUCCGCCCUCUCUGAGUCCUCAUCUUGUGGACUUAAUGCCCUCCAGAUGCAGGGCCUGCCUUAGUCCCCGCUUCCAAGUCCUGUCCAGUGCAGGGACCUCCUGGCAGGGCCUGAACCGUGAAUGUGAGAUUCAUCUGCUGCUUCGAGUGCUUUCCUAGAACAGAAUCAAGACCGUAAUCAUUAGCUACUUGUCUCUGCCUCCAGUGAACGCUGAUCAGCCACCUUCUAUGUGGGGAUCACAGGGCCGGGUAUCAGCAGUCAAGCUCUCCAGCCCAGGAGUCCAGUGGUCUGGAUCUACGGUUGCCCAACUCUGUCCUAAGUGCCAGAGCCUUUCAGUAUUUUCAACGACGUGAUGACUGGAAGGCAUCGGCGCUGCACUACAGUUUCAAGUCUGGCGAACACGCGGACAAGGGCUCUCCAGCCAGCCAGUUCCCAGCACGACUCUUAGGAAUAUGUGGGAGAGUCUCUCCGGGUUUGACCAAGGUCAAGUGGGGGCUCUGAGCACAGGAGCCCUAGCGAGGGACCAGCGGGGCGGGGACAGAGCUUUCCUCCCGGAAAACCCUCUGCUCUCUCCGAUGCGGGCCCGCCGAGGCCCGAGCGGGGUUGGAAGCCUAGAUAAGCUUCCAGCGGCCACCGCCGGGUCAGAAGAAAAGCCGCGAAGCUCUGGGCUCUGCGGCAGGACCCUCGGCGGCCGCCGUACCGCAGAGCCGAACCCGCGCGCCCUGAGCGCAGCGGCAGCUGAGUACUCAGACCAACCUGGGCGACUCCGGAGCAUCCUUAGAGCCUGGGGAUCUUGCUUUCCUCACCAGUAAAAUGGCUUCCUGUCUCAUGGGCUGUGUGAGGACUGAAUGAGGUAAUGCUUGUGCAGUCAUAAAGUGCUUAUCGCAAUGCCCCAAGCCGAUGCGGGCAGUCAGCCUAGAGAGGCAGUUUCCUCUUCCUUACCUGAUAGGCAUAUCGCGUCAUCUACACCCCUGGCACUACCCGGGGGACGGCGUGGGCUCUCCAAAAAGACCUCAGAUCCUUUUACUCUAGAAGGAGGAUGAAGCUUCUGGAAUGUUAAAAGAAUGCAGCGAGACUAUCUCUAAAGGGGGUUGUCCCCUGGCUGAUUCUAAAGUAAAUUACUUUCUCUGCCGCUACUGCCCUUUACAACUGGAUGUCUGCAAGCCUCACGGUGGGUCUCCUCAUUUGUAAACGGGAGUUAAUAGGGGUGUUGUGAGAAUUCAGGGAGAAAAUACACAUACACAGAACCCGCAUUUAAUUAGGCCCUGGGAAAUGGUACCAGUUCUUUUUUCACUACACAAGCAGCACUAUUGGAAACACCCACUCUGAGCACCUGCUUCUCUGAGUUCAGGUGGGGGGAGGGAAAGCAGAAGGUGCCUGGGUUGAGAGAGCCUGCGGGGGAGCCAGCCACACCCAGACAGCCAGCAGCCUUGACCCUCGUGAGUGUGUCUGCUCUAUGCUCCACCUUCUGUUUGCAUUUGCUGCUCCCAUUAUUUCCCCCACCUAUGCUCCCAGGAGCUCACGCACAAGGACAUCUUGUCCUGAAGGAGCACGAUGAGUGCAGCACAGACCAACAGCCGUAGAGCCCUCGAAGUCAGCAGGUGAGGUCCCAUAACCUCCAAGUGAGUGAGGCCCCCCCAGGUUAGCUUCUUGGAAAUAACCACCUCAGGGUCUGUUGAGGUCAGGCCCUCCUUUCUGCAGUAAAUUAGACUUUCUAAAGUACUAGAGAAAAGAAACAAAACAAACAAACCUUGACAUAUCUUUAUUCCAUUACCCAAUACCCAAAAGAAAGGCGUUUCACUUGCCUUUAAAGUGAACUGUAGUUCCAGCUACAUUUAUAGAACCCUUUCUCUUUACAGUCAUUAUACUAAGUGCUCUGCAAUCUCAGAUAAUUCUCACCACACCCUCACAGUAUUCUGUCCAUUGUACAUGUUGGAAAACCAAGCCUCAGAGAUUGCGAGCCUUGUUGAAGGUCACAGCCAAAAAGCAGCAGAGCCAGAGUGGGAAUCGGGCUGAUCUAUAAACAGUGUGCUCUUAACAGCUACACUACUCUAAAUAUAUACCCUAUUCUCUGCUUUAAAUAAAGUGCUUUUGGUGUCUUCAUUUUCAGGGCCUCUAGGUUCUCCUCCACCCCCUGAAACCCAUCUUCUUUCUCUAACCUUUUAUUCAUUGUAAGCAUGUCACGCAUGCUGAAUUUGUGAGCUCAGCACCACACUUAGCAGGCUUUGGUUAGGGAAUUCAGCUGCAAAACACCCUCUGCCCAGCCAAGUCCUCAGAGCUAAAUCCAGGGAUGCAAGGCCUCUUGGCUCUGCAGUUGUAGUGGCACCAUGAUAUGGCCUCUCUGGGUCCUGCCUCAGAGGCCUCUCCAUCCACCUGUUCUAGUGAACACACUUGUCUUCCCCAUCGGUUACUGGGUUAAGAUGUCCUAUGCUUUCACCUUUAUGUGGCUCCAGAUGUUGGAUUUAAUUAAAAAAAAA